rnacentral:piRNA from 1 species
UGCUGAAUGACAGGUCUGACUGUGC